rnacentral:rRNA from 1 species
CAGUCGCCGCGGUAAUACGAAGGGUGCAAGCGUUAAUCGGAAUUACUGGGCGUAAAGCGUGCGUAGGUGGUGGUUUAAGUCCGUUGUGAAAGCCCUGGGCUCAACCUGGGAAUUGCAGUGGAUACUGGGUCACUAGAGUGUGGUAGAGGAUAGUGGAAUUUCCGGUGUAGCAGUGAAAUGCGUAGAGGUCGGAAGGAACAUCUGUGGCGAAGGCGACUACCUGGGCCAACACUGACACUGAGGCACGAAAGCGUGGGGAGCAAACAGGAUUAGAUACCCCCGUAGUCCCUGUCUCUUAUAC